rnacentral:rRNA from 1 species
AGCAGCCGCGGUAAUUCCAGCUCCAAUAGCGUAUAUUAAAGUUGUUGCAGUUAAAAAGCUCGUAGUUGAAUUUCGGGGUUAGCAGGUUGGUCGUGCCAAUGGUAUGCACUGGCCUUGCUGAUUCCUCCCUCUUGAUGAGCCGUAAUGCCAUUAAUUUGGUGUUGCGGGGAAUCAGGACUGUUACUUUGAAAAAAUUAGAGUGUUUAAAGCAGGCAAGCGCUUGAAUACAUUAGCAUGGAAUAAUGAAAUAGGACGUUUGAUCCUAUUUUGUUGGUUUCUAGGAUUGACGUAAUGAUUAAUAGGGAUAGUUGGGGGCAUUAGUAUUCAAUUGUCAGAGGUGAAAUUCUUGGAUUUAUUGAAGACUAACUACUGCGAAAGCAUUUGCCAAGGAUGCUUUCAUUAAUCAAGAACGAAAGUUAGGGGAUCGAAGACGAUCAGAUACCGUCGUAGUCUUAACCAUAAACUAUGCCGACUAGGGAUCGGAUGAUGUUAAUUUUUUAAUGACUC